GCGGCCUGGAAAAACGAACACAGUAAAAACAUGAUUUCCAUAGAAAACAAAAACGAUUCCGAAAUAAUUUUCAUAUAGAUUACAUUUUAUUAGCGUCCUUUUUUUUUUCUUUUAA
rnacentral:ribozyme from 1 species